rnacentral:rRNA from 1 species
UACAGAGGUCUCAAGCGUUGUUCGGAUUCAUUGGGCGUAAAGGGCGCGUAGGCUGCGGGGCAAGUCGGGUGUGAAAUCUCAGAGCUCAACUCUGAAACUGCACUCGAUACUGCUUUGCUCGAGGACUGGAGAGGAGAUUGGAAUUCACGGUGUAGCAGUGAAAUGCGUAGAUAUCGUAAGGAAGACCAGUGGCGAAGGCGGGUCUCUGGACAGUUCCUGACGCUGAGCACGAAGGCCAGGGGAGCAAACGGGAUUAG